UACAGAGGUCUCAAGCGUUGUUCGGAUUCAUUGGGCGUAAAGGGUGCGUAGGUGGCAUGGUAAGUCGGAUGUGAAAUCCCGGGGCUCAACCCCGGAACUGCAUUCGAUACUGCUGCGCUAGAGUACUGGAGAGGAGAUUGGAAUUUACGGUGUAGCAGUGAAAUGCGUAGAUAUCGUAAGGAAGACCAGUGGCGAAGGCGGAUCUCUGGACAGUUACUGACACUGAGGCACGAAAGGCCAGGGGAGCAAACGGG
rnacentral:rRNA from 1 species